GAUGAAGAACGUAGCGAAAUGCGAUAAGUAAUGUGAAUUGCAGAAUUCAGUGAAUCAUCGAAUCUUUGAACGCACCUUGCGCCCUUUGGCUAUUCCGAAGGGCAUGCCUGUUUGAGUAUCAUGAACACCUCAACUCUCACGGUUUGCCAUGAUGAGCUUGGACUUUGGGGGUCUUGCCGGCCUAUGGGUCGGCUCCUCUCAAAUUAAUCAGCUUGCCAGUGUUUGGUGGCAUCACAGGUGUGAUAACUAUCUACGCUUGUGGUUUUCCAUCAGGUAACCUUCAGUGAUGGAGGUUCGCUGGGGCUCAUAAAUGUCUCUCCUCAGUGAGGACAGCUUUUUUGAACGUUUGAUCUCAAAUCAGGUAGGACUACCCGCUGAACUUAAGCAUAUCAAUAAGCGGAGGA
rnacentral:misc_RNA from 1 species